CUCCCUGCAAUCUUGUUUCCAACUUCUGCUUCUUCCAGCCCAGCAUUUCUCAUGAUGUGACUUUAGCAAGAAUUGUGUACAGUUCAGGAUUGACUAAAAUAAAAUAUAAUUUAAUUAAGUAAAUGACUUUUUUUUAUUAAUAGUAAGCUACAAUAAUACUGGAAGUUGGUUUUCUCUCUGUUAACAGAACAAACUUUCCUGGAAUAUAGAGCUGCCUUGGACAACAGAUGAAGUCAGAGAUGCUGAACUCUGAGCAGCCUUAUCAGGUUCUAGAUUUCAGACACGCUGGGACCUGGGCUGCAGUGCUUCCUCGUGGACACACAGCUUCUUGAGCCACAGACAGCAAGGAAACCACGAGGGACUAACAAUCACUACACACACGAGCAGCGGGGGCAAGUGAUGCACCAGAUCAAAAAAGAAAAGAUCAAAACUCCAGUCACCCUUCAGAGCUGGAGAACUAAAGUGGGUCCUGGACGUGAUGCCUCACACAGCACCACCAAGGGCUGCACAGACCUCGCAUUCAGCCCUCCCGCCCAAUGCCGGACCCAGC